rnacentral:tRNA from 1 species
AGAGAGAGAGGCACACCUGUCCUCCUUAAUGAC